AUGACGAACACGCCACCAUGCGCAUGGCAGACCUAUGCUGAUGGAGGUGGUGCCAGGAACGGCAUAGGCACGUUGAAUGUUGGGAUAGAAGGCAUCGGAGGCAGUGUCACCUUGGGCAUGGAAGGAAUGGCGGGGUGGUGUCGGCCAGGUGGCGUGCGCCAUGGCACGUGUGGCCGCCGAGGAGCGCGCACGCCAUGA
rnacentral:rRNA from 1 species